rnacentral:misc_RNA from 1 species
UUUUUGAUUUUUAUUUGAGAUUUCGUCAAGCGACGAUGUUUUAUCGGAGUUUGGAAAAAACUCUACUGCCUACAAAGUAGUAGUAGUAGAGUUUCAAAAAAAGCGAAUCUUUCGAUUCUUUUUUAAUGAUCCUUCCGCAGGUUCACCUACGGAAA